UAACCUACCCAUCAGAGGGGGAUAACACUUGGAAACAGGUGCUAAUACCGCAUAACAGUUUAUGCCGCAUGGCAUAAGAGUGAAAGGCGCUUUCGGGUGUGCUGAUGGAUGGACCCGCGGUGCAUUAGCUAGUUGGUGAGGUAACGGCUCACCAAGGCCACGAUGCAUAGCCGACCUGAGAGGGUGAUCGGCCACACUGGGACUGAGACACGGCCCAG
rnacentral:rRNA from 1 species